UACGGAGGAUGCGAGCGUUAUCCGGAUUUAUUGGGUUUAAAGGGUGCGUAGGCGGCGAGUUAAGUCAGCGGUAAAAGCCCGGGGCUCAACCCCGGCCCGCCGUUGAAACUGGUUUUCUAGAGUUGGAGAGAAGUAUGCGGAAUUCGUGGUGUAGCGGUGAAAUGCAUAGAUAUCACGAAGAACUCCGAUUGCGAAGGCAGCAUACCGGCUCCCAACUGACGCUCAGGCACGAAAGCGUGGGUAUCGAACAGG
rnacentral:rRNA from 1 species